rnacentral:rRNA from 1 species
GACGAACGCUGGCGGCGUGCCUAAUACAUGCAAGUCGAGCGCACCUAUCAGGCGCUUGCUUCUCUCUCAUUAGCGACGGACGGGUGCGUAACACGUGGAUAACCUACCUUAAAGUCUCCGAUAACUUCGGGAAACCGGAGCUAAUACCUGCUAAUAUAUUGAACCACUUUGUUCAAUAUUGCAUAACGGUUUUACUCUCACUUGUAGAUGGAUCCGCGCCGCAUUAGCUAGUUGGUAAGGUAACGGCUUACCAAGGCAACGAUGCGUAGCCGACCUGAGAGGGUGAUCGGCCACACUGGAACUGAGACACGGUCCAGACUCCUACGGGAGGCAGCAGUAGGGAAUCUUCCGCAAAGGGCGAAAGCCUGACGGAGCAACGCCGCGUGAGUGAUGAAGGUCUUCGGAUCGUAAAACUCUGUUAUUAGGGAAGAACAAAUGUGUAAGUAACUAUGCACGUCUUGACGGUACCUAAUCAGAAAGCCACGGCUAACUACGUG